rnacentral:misc_RNA from 1 species
AAAGAUAUGCAUAUUCUUCUGAAUAUACUUUAUUAACCCAUUCCGAGUACCUUACCCGUUGCUUCCGGAGGCUGUCCUCACGGCCCUCUGAAGAUUUAUCUUUGGGGAGUCCUUGCGGAAAGGUAUACAAUAAACUCAUUGCAUAUACCAUGUCAUCUGUCUGAACCUGUUUAAAACCAAUAUUAA